rnacentral:rRNA from 1 species
UACGAAGGGUGCAAGCGUUACUCGGAAUUACUGGGCGUAAAGCGUGCGUAGGUGGUUUGUUAAGUCUGAUGUGAAAGCCCUGGGCUCAACCUGGGAAUGGCAUUGGAUACUGGCGAGCUAGAGUGCGGUAGAGGGCAGUGGAAUUCCCGGUGUAGCAGUGAAAUGCGUAGAGAUCGGGAGGAACAUCUGUGGCGAAGGCGACUGCCUGGACCAGCACUGACACUGAGGCACGAAAGCGUGGGGAGCAAACAG